UACGUAGGGGGCAAGCGUUGUCCGGAAUCAUUGGGCGUAAAGCGCGCGUAGGCGGCCCGGUAAGUCCGCUGUGAAAGUCGGGGGCUCAACCCUCGGAUGCCGGUGGAUACUGUCGGGCUUGAGUGCGGAAGAGGCGAGUGGAAUUCCUGGUGUAGCGGUGAAAUGCGCAGAUAUCGGGAAGAACACCCGUGGCGAAGGCGGUUCUCUGGGACGGUACUGACGCUGAGACGCGAAAGCGUGGGGAGCGAACAGG
rnacentral:rRNA from 1 species